rnacentral:rRNA from 1 species
AUUGAAAGUAUUAUUAAGGCAAAAAUUUUGGAAAUUUUAAAAUAAGAAAAUUAAUUUUAAUUAAGUUUAUUAGAAUAAAUAUUUUUUAUUAUAGAUUAAUAGUAUUGUGAAAGAAUUAAGGAUAAUAUAUUUAAAAGAAAAAUUUAAUUUUUGUACCUUGUGUAUCAGGGUUAAUUUAAGUAAUUUAAUUAUUUAAUUAUCUCGAAUUUAAAAGAGUUAAUUAUUUAUUUAUUUUAAUGUAAAAUAAUUAUUUAAAAUAAAUAAUUAGUAAUGAAACGUUAUUCGUUUUUAAAUAUAUCUAGUUUCUAAAGAAAAAUAUUUAAUUUUAUUUUUAAAAUUUAAAAUUUUUAUUAUUAAAUUAUUUUAUUAUUAAAAGUAAAGUUUUUUAGGGAUAAGCUUAAAAAAUAAUUUUUAUAAUUUAUUAAAAAAUAAAUAAUUUAUAGGGAUAAAAGUUUCUAUAUAUAUAAAGAUGUUAUAAUCAAUUAUUUAAAAAAUAUUAUUUUUAAUUUAUUUAAUUUUUUUAUUUAGAUAUAAUAAAAAAUAAUAAUUUAUGAGAAUUUAUGAUUAAAUUAGUAUAGAUUAAUUUAUUUAGUAGUAUAAAAUUAAGUUGAAUUAAAGGAACUCGGCAAAUUGGUUUUUCACCUGUUUAAUAAAAACAUGUCUUUUUGUUAAUAAUUUAAAGUCUAAUCUGCCCAUUGAAAAUUUAAAAGGCCGCGGUAUUUUGACCGUGCAAAGGUAGCAUAAUAAUUAGUUUUUUAAUUGGAAGCUGGUAUGAAUGAUUGGAUGAGAAAAAAACUGUCUCUAGUUUAUUUUUAUAGAAUUUUAUUUUUAAGUUAAAAAGCUUAAAUAUUGUUAAAAGACGAGAAGACCCUAUAGAGUUUAAUAAAUCAAAAAUUUAAGUUUAGUAGUUUUAAUUUUUUAGAUUUUAAAUUUUAUUUGAUUGGGGUGAUUGAAAAAUUUAUAAAACUUUUUUUAUUAUUAUACAUUUAUUUGUGGUUAAUUGAUCCAAAUUUUUUGAUUAUAAGAAUAAAUUACCUUAGGGAUAACAGCGUAAUUUUUUUUGAGAGUUCAAAUCGAAAAAAAAGAUUGCGACCUCGAUGUUGGAUUAAAAUUAAAUUUUGGUGUAGAAGCUGAGAUUUUAGGUCUGUUCGACCUUUAAAAUUUUACAUGAUCUGAGUUUAAACCGGUGUGAGCCAGGUUGGUUUCUAUCUUUAGUUUAAUAAAGUAUUUUAGUACGAAAGGACCAAAUAUUUAUUAUAAUAAUUUGUUUUGAAUAAAAUU